rnacentral:rRNA from 1 species
UGGGGAAUAUUGGACAAUGGGUGAGAGCCUGAUCCAGCCAUGCCGCGUGCAGGAAGAAGGCGUUAUGCGUUGUAAACUGCUUUUUGCCAGGGGAUAAAAAGACCGUGCGCGGUUAAUUGAAGGUACCUGGUGAAUAAGCCACGGCUAACUACGUGCCAGCAGCCGCGGUAAUACGUAGGUGGCAAGCGUUGUCCGGAUUUAUUGGGCGUAAAGGGCGCGUAGGCGGUUUGUCAAGUCAGUUGUGAAAUCUCCGAGCUUAACUCGGAACGGUCAGAUGAUACUGCUUUGCUAGAGUGCAGAAGGGGCAAUCGGAAUUCUUGGUGUAGCGGUGAAAUGCGUAGAUAUCAAGAGGAACACCUGAGGUGAAGACGGGUUGCUGGGCUGACACUGACGCUGAGGCGCGAAAGCCAGGGGAGCAAACGGGAUUAGAUACCCAAGUAGUCCCUGAGCGGGCUGGCAAGGCGCAU